rnacentral:rRNA from 1 species
AACGAACGCUGGCGGCGUGCCUAACACAUGCAAGUCGCGCGAGAAAAGGGGGGCAACCCCCUGAGUAAAGCGGCGAACGGGUGAGUAACACGUAGGUGACCUACCUUCGAGUCUAGAAUAACCCACCGAAAGGUGGGCUAAUGCCGGAUAUGACCACGGGAGCCUCGGCUCCUGCGGUGAAAGGUGGCCUCUGCUUGCAAGCUACCGCUCGACGAUGGGCCUGCGCGCCAUAGCUAGUUGGUGAGGUAACGGCCCACCAAGGCGAUGAUGGCUAGCUGGUCUGAGAGGAUGGCCAGCCACACUGGGACUGAAACACGGCCCAGACUCCUACGGGAGGCAGCAGUGGGGGAUAUUGCGCAAUGGGCGAAAGCCUGACGCAGCGACGCCGCGUGGGUGAUGAAGGCC